rnacentral:rRNA from 1 species
UUCCAGACUCCUACGGGAGGCAGCAGUGGGGAAUAUUGGGCAAUGGGCGCAAGCCUGACCCAGCAACGCCGCGUGAAGGAAGAAGGCUUUCGGGUUGUAAACUUCUUUUCUCAGGGACGAAGCAAGUGACGGUACCUGAGGAAUAAGCCACGGCUAACUACGUGCCAGCAGCCGCGGUAAUACGUAGGUGGCAAGCGUUAUCCGGAUUUACUGGGUGUAAAGGGCGUGUAGGCGGGGACGCAAGUCAGAUGUGAAAACCAUGGGCUCAACCUGUGGCCUGCAUUUGAAACUGUAGUUCUUGAGUGAUGGAGAGGCAGGCGGAAUUCCGUGUGUAGCGGUGAAAUGCGUAGAUAUACGGAGGAACACCAGUGGCGAAGGCGGCCUGCUGGACAUUAACUGACGCUGAGGCGCGAAAGCGUGGGGAGCAAACAGGAUUAGAUACCCCGGUAUG